rnacentral:siRNA from 1 species
UUAACCAAACUAUAUCUUGCCUA